AGGCUAUCGAGCAGAAAAUGACAGACCUCAUCAAAAACAUCAUCGAAUGGACUCUGGACUACCUGCGGGAACAUGUGGUUGACUGGAUUAGGGAACAGGGAGGCUGGGGGGUGAUGUGUUCCUUCUUUGGCACUCCUACCGGUCAGACUGCCUGCAUCCUUCUGGCUGCUGUCCUGGUCAUGCGCAGGUUGUGACAGAGAAUGGACAGGUCCCUGCUAAUGUAUAUGCGGUUUAUGCACAGAUUAUCUCUCCUCUGGGACAUGACCAAGAACAAAUACAUUUCUCUGUCUGUAUGGAAAAUGGAGCCCUUUUGGAAGCAUGACUACUUUACAGAUUACUUUCUGAUAAUUCUUGUCUGAGCCUGGGAUUCUCUGUGCUGAAUCUUGGGGCUCAUUAAAGUUCAAGGGACAUGUUUCUGCAGAGAAAAUGGCACUUGGUGGUGGUUGUUGUUGUGUUUUUUUUGUUUGUUUGUUUGUUUGUUUUAAACCUUUGACACGCUUUGGUCGUGGAAUUAGUUCAAAUAAAAAGUUCAAAUAAACAGUUUAGCAACACCCAAAAA